ensembl:lncRNA
AUGUACCCUACAAAAUUGCACCAGUGUCGGGGGACACGUGGGGGACACGUGGGGGACACGUGGGGGACACUCGGGGAACAGGGGCCAGUGUCCAGACGCAUAUGGAGAGCCGUGUUUGGACUGACCUGCAGCCUGUGUGCACGCACGCGCGCGCGUGCGCACACACACACACGCACACACACACACGCACGCACACGCGCGGUUUCACCCCAUGAGUUCUCUUUUUCCUCCAGGGCGGUGGAUCCUCUGAGAGCCAGCGACUGGGCUGCCGGAGUCUCCCAGCAACACCACACAGGAGGUGCUGGGGUCCUCGAAGAGCCCAGUGAGGAGUCGGGGUGCUGUGGGCGUGGCACGAGGCCUGCCCCCACUCCCGCCUCCUACCCGUCCCCCUCCUCUUCCCCCUGGUCCUUGGAGAAGUACAGGAGCACCGGGGGAGGGCGGCCGGAGGGGCGGUCAGCCCCCGGCCCGGCCCCCAGCCCCACUUAUCCUCAGCCCCGUCCAGGCGCGGCGGGCGCCCGCGCCAACGUGGUCUGGCUCCCUGAGAAGUGCCCGCCGCGCUCCUCCCCGCGCCACGCCAGCUCUCCGAAGACGCGAGCCAGGGCGCAGCGCCCUCCCGGCGGCACCUGGAACCGCGGGCGGCCCCCGGGAACGCGGCCGCCUCGAAGGCCUCCGCCAACUCGGACCGCGCUGCUGGCCCCGCAGGGUCAGCGUGUGGCCGGCGCCAAACCCGGGUGGGUGGGUGGGUGGGUGGGCGGGGCCGGGGGGCUGCUGGACACGCCCGAGGCCCGCCCACACCACCCUCCAGCUCACUCUGGCCCUGCCCCCCGAGACCUGGCCCCUCCGGACGCCCCCCUCCUCCUGCCGGCCUCGCCCGCCUGUGGGCCCAUCCCUUCCCUAGCCCCGCCCCCUCGGGCCGCGCCCGCUCCAGGCCCCGCCCUCCUCCCUCCCGGGCCCGCCCCUUCCCGGGACCCACCCUCGUCCGGCAGCCCUGGGACCCGUCUUGGUUCCGUUCGGCCCCGCCGCCAGCCCUCGAGCCUCGCCUCCGCUCAGGGUAGAGCCAGGUGGGCGUCGCGUGGCCGUGUCUGCGCUCUUGUGGCCCUGCUCACCUGCUCUCGAGGGGCUGCGCGCCGCCCGGACAGCGGACCCGUCCGUCCGUCACCCUGA